UUACUCAGUGGGCUAUGGGAAAGAUUUUGAAACUUGUAAUUCAUGGGGGCUACUGUAAACAUGCUCGAUUUCUUUAACAAGUUUCCAGGUGGAGCCAAGAAAAAAGCAACCUGUACCGUCAGACUGUGGCCACGCCCACUCGAAUGACAUCUCUCGCAGGCCACGCCCCGCGCACCUGUGCGCCGGUUUCUGCUGGAGAGAGCGGAGCUGAGUGAGUUUGUUCCGCGUCUUUUAUGAUUAUUUUCUGUUUUUCCUCUAUUUGAAUAUAGAUAAAAUUUAACUCUUGUAAUUAUGUAGUCUAAACCUCGCAGGAAAAGUGAUAAAAAUCUAUCUUGCAACGAAUACUUGUUAGUUUUAAUGGUCUUUAAAUUCUAAAUUCUGUAUUUGUGUGUCUUCGGGCAGGACAUGCUUGGCUCAGCUGCUGCAAUUAUCCAAUUCGGUGUCUGCGGGUAGGACAUGCUUGGCUCAGCUGGUGGAAUUAUCGAUGAAUUGCAACAAAGUUGCAGUCUUCAUUCUGGUCGCUGCCUCGACGAAACAGUAACGUGCUGUGUGUUUCUGUUUUAACAUGUAGCUGCUUGCAAAUGUUUUCUUACUCUGUUAACUUGUAACAGUAUUUUGCAUUAAUGUAGCCGUGCUUUGACACUUUGUGAUUGAAAUGCAUGUUCAUUUUCACUUCUAAGCUUGUGCAUUUGACGUAUUGUAAUGCUUUGUUUUGUAUGCCAU